rnacentral:rRNA from 1 species
UACGUAGGGGACGAGCGUUGUCCGGAAUUACUGGGCGUAAAGGGCGCGCAGGCUGUAGAUCAAGUCAGCUGUGAAAUGUCUGGGCUUAACCCGGGCAUGCGGUUGGAACUGAUGUACUGGAGUGCUGUAGAGGCAAGUGGAAUUCCCAGUGUAGCGGUGAAAUGCGUAGAUAUUGGGAAGAACACCGGUGGCGAAGGCGACUUGCUGGGCAGCAACUGACGCUGAGGCGCGAAAGCCAGGGGAGCAAACGGGAUUAGAUA